GGGAUGGCCCCGCGGUGCAUUAGCUAGUUGGUAAGGUAAAGGCUUACCAAGGCGAUGAUGCAUAGCCGAGUUGAGAGACUGAUCGGCCACAUUGGGACUGAGACACGGCCCAAACUCCUACGGGAGGCAGCAGUAGGGAAUCUUCCACAAUGGACGCAAGUCUGAUGGAGCAACGCCGCGUGAGUGAAGAAGGUUUUCGGAUCGUAAAGCUCUGUUGUUGGUGAAGAAGGAUAGAGGUAGUAACUGGCCUUUAUUUGACGGUAAUCAACCAGAAAGUCACGGCUAACUACGUGCCAGCAGCCGCGGUAAUACGUAGGUGGCAAGCGUUGUCCGGAUUUAUUGGGCGUAAAGCGAGCGCAGGCGGAAGAAUAAGUCUGAUGUGAAAGCCCUCGGCUUAACCGAGGAACUGCAUCGGAAACUGUUUUUCUUGAGUGCAGAAGAGGAGAGUGGAACUCCAUGUGUAGCGGUGGAAUGCGUAGAUAUAUGGAAGAACACCAGUGGCGAAGGCGGCUCUCUGGUCUGCAACUGACGCUGAGGCUCGAAAGCAUGGGUAGCGAACAGGAUUAGAUACCCUGGUAGUCCAUGCCGUAAACGAUGAGUGCGUAAGUGUUGGGAGGUUUCCGCCUCUCAGUGCUGCAGCUAACG
rnacentral:rRNA from 1 species